rnacentral:tRNA from 1 species
GCCAGUGUAGUGUAGUGGUUUGAGUGCUGGAUUAUGACUCUGGAGACCAGGGUUUGAAUCCCCACCCAGCCU